rnacentral:tRNA from 1 species
UGCCCGAUGGUGUAAUGGCAGCACAAAAGAUUUUGAUUCUUUCAGUCUAGGUUCGAACCCUAGUCGGGCAACCA